rnacentral:rRNA from 1 species
AUUGAACGCUGGCGGCAGGCCUAACACAUGCAAGUAGAACGCAGUUGCGAACGGGUGAGUAACGCGUAGGUAACUGCCUCAUAGCGGGGGAUAACUAUUGGAAACGAUAGCUAAUACCGCAUACUGUGAGAUGGACCUGCGUUGUAUUAGCUAGUUGGUGAGGUAAAGGCGCACCAAGGCGGCGAUACAUAGCCGACCUGAGAGGGUGAACGGCAAAACGGUGACGGUGACACGGCCCAAGCGCCUACGGGGUGCAGCAGAAGGGAAUGUUCGGCAUUGGACUGAAGUGUGACCGAGCAAGGCCGGGGGAGUGAAGGAGGUUUUCGGAUCGUAAAGCUCGGUUUUUAGAGAAGCGGUAACUAACCAGAAAGGGAUGGCUAACUACGGGCCAGCAGCCGCGGUAAUAC